rnacentral:tRNA from 3 species
GGAAGAAUAACCCUAACCUGGUAAGGGAACUGUUUGCUAAACAGUCAGUAGCUGAUGAGAGUCGGUGUGCGGGUUCGAAUCCCGCUUCUUCCUCCA